AUUGAACGCUGGCGGCAGGCUUAACACAUGCAAGUCGAGCGGGGGAAGGUAGCUUGCUACCGGACCUAGCGGCGGACGGGUGAGUAAUGCUUAGGAAUCUGCCUAUUAGUGGGGGACAACAUCUCGAAAGGGAUGCUAAUACCGCAUACGUCCUACGGGAGAAAGCAGGGGAUCUUCGGACCUUGCGCUAAUAGAUAAGCCUAAGUCGGAUUGGCUAGUUGGUGGGGUAAAGGCCUACCAAGGCGACGAUCUGUAGCGGGUCUGAGAGGAUGAUCCGCCACACUGGGACUGAGACACGGCCCAGACUCCUACGGGAGGCAGCAGUGGGGAAUAUUGGACAAUGGGGGGAACCCAGAUCCAGCCAUGCCGCGUGUGUGAAGAAGGCCUUAUGGUUGUAAGGCACUUUAAGCGAGGAGGAGGCUACUUUAGUUAAUACCUAGAGAUAGUGGACGUUACUCGCAGAAUAAGCACCGGCUAACUCUGUGCCAGCAGCCGCCGCGG
rnacentral:rRNA from 1 species